rnacentral:rRNA from 1 species
AGAACGAACGCUGGCGGCAUGCCUAACACAUGCAAGUCGAACGUGAUCCAUGACUUCGGUUGUGGUGAAAGUGGCAAACGGGUGAGUAACGCGUGGGAAUCUGCCCAGAGGUAGGGAAUAACCGCGGGAAACUGCGGCUAAUACCCUAUGUGCCCUACGGGGCAAAGAUUUAUCGCCUUUGGAGGAGCCCGCGUCGGAUUAGGUAGUUGGUAGGGUAACGGCCUACCAAGCCUACGAUCCGUAGCUGGUCUGAGAGGAUGAUCAGCCACACUGGGACUGAGAUACGGCCCAGACUCCUACGGGAGGCAGCAGUGGGGAAUAUUGGACAAUGGGGGCAACCCUGAUCCAGCAAUGCCGCGUGAGUGAUGAAGGCCUUCGGGUUGUAAAGCUCUUUCGGCGGGAAGAUGAUGACGGUACCCGUAGAAUAAGCCCCGGCUAACUUCGUGCCAGCAGCCGC